UACGAAGGGGGCUAGCGUUGUUCGGAUUUACUGGGCGUAAAGCGCACGUAGGCGGAUCGUUAAGUCAGGGGUGAAAUCCUGGAGCUCAACUCCAGAACUGCCUUUGAUACUGGCGAUCUUGAGUCCGGAAGAGGUGAGUGGAACUCCUAGUGUAGAGGUGGAAUUCGUAGAUAUUAGGAAGAACACCAGUGGCGAAGGCGGCUCACUGGCCCGGUACUGACGCUGAGGUGCGAAAGCGUGGGGAGCAAACAGG
rnacentral:rRNA from 1 species